AUUGCUGUGUAUGAUGUGUGUGAGAGUGCUAUGAUGUGUGUGAGAGUGCUAUGAUGUGUGUGAGAGUGAUGUGUGAGAGUGCUGUGUGUGAGUGUUGUGUGUUAUGUGUGUGAGUGCUGAGUGUGAUAGUGCUGUGUAUGAGUGUUGAGUGUGAUAGUGCUGUGUAUGAUGUGUGUGAGUGCUGAGUGUGAUGUGUGUGAGAGUGAUGUGCCUGAGUGCUGUGUGUGAGAGUGUUGUGUGAUGUGUGUGAGAGUG